rnacentral:rRNA from 1 species
GACGAACGCUGGCGGCGUGCCUAACACAUGCAAGUCGAACGGAGCAGAUCCCUUCGGGGGUUUGCUUAGUGGCGAACGGGUGAGUAACGCGUAAAGAACUUGCCUUACAGACUGGGACAACAUUUGGAAACGAAUGCUAAUACCGGAUAUUAUGACUGAGUCGCAUGAUUUGGUUAUGAAAGCUAUAUGCGCUGUGAGAGAGCUUUGCGUCCCAUUAGUUAGUUGGUGAGGUAACGGCUCACCAAGACGAUGAUGGGUAGCCGGCCUGAGAGGGUGAACGGCCACAAGGGGACUGAGACACGGCCCUU